rnacentral:rRNA from 1 species
GACGAACGCUGGCGGCGUGCUUAACACAUGCAAGUCGAACGGAAAGGCCCUGCUUUUGUGGGGUGCUCGAGUGGCGAACGGGUGAGUAACACGUGAGUAACCUGCCCUUGACUUUGGGAUAACUUCUGGAAACUGGGGCUAAUACCGGAUAGGAGCUCCUGCUGCAUGGUGGGGGUUGGAAAGUUUCGGCGGUUGGGGAUGGACUCGCGGCUUAUCAGCUUGUUGGUGGGGUAGUGGCUUACCAAGGCUUUGACGGGUAGCCGGCCUGAGAGGGUGACCGGCCACAUUGGGACUGAGAUACGGCCCAGACUCCUACGGGAGGCAGCAGUGGGGAAUAUUGCACAAUGGGCGGAAGCCUGAUGCAGCAACGCCGCGUGCGGGAUGACGGCCUUCGGGUUGUAAACCGCUUUCGCCUGGGACGAAGCGUGAGUGACGGUAAUGGGUAAAGAAGCACCGGCUAACUACGUG